UGAGUAACACGUGGGUGAUCUGCCCUGCACUUUGGGAUAAGCCUGGGAAACUGGGUCUAAUACCGAAUAGGACUCCGCGCUUCAUGGCGUGGGGUGGAAAGCUUUUGCGGUGUGGGAUGGGCCCGCGGCCUAUCAGCUUGUUGGUGGGGUAAUGGCCUACCAAGGCGACGACGGGUAGCCGGCCUGAGAGGGUGUCCGGCCACACUGGGACUGAGAUACGGCCCAGACUCCUACGGGAGGCAGCAGUGGGGAAUAUUGCACAAUGGGCGCAAGCCUGAUGCAGCGACGCCGCGUGAGGGAUGACGGCCUUCGGGUUGUAAACCUCUUUCAGCAGGGACGAAGCGCAAGUGACGGUACCUGUAGAAGAAGGACCGGCCAACUACGUGCCAGCAGCCGCGGUAAUACGUAGGGUCCGAGCGUUGUCCGGAAUUACUGGGCGUAAAGAGCUCGUAGGUGGUUUGUCG
rnacentral:rRNA from 1 species